rnacentral:misc_RNA from 1 species
UAAUACUAUCUGGUUAGACAUAAAAGCGAUUCAGGAAGUGAAAUACCCAAAUUUGACUGCAGUUCUCUUCCUCAUUUGUUUUAUUACACAAGUUUAAAAUGAGCUGUCCCUCACUUAACUUAAAGUAAAAGAGAACAGUCAGCAUAUGUGUGUGUUACGGUUGGUGAAGAAUGAGUGCUAUUCCAAACUUCAGAUUCCACAGUUCCGUGCUGAAAAUUCUCCACUCGGGAAAGAUUGGGCACUAGCUAUAGAACUGUUAUGUCAAAAUGGAACGAAAUGGUGGCUUAGGCCUGUGGGAGGAAGGAGUUGAAACAUUAGCGCCGAGCGAUAACAGAGGCCGUUUUUUCUGAAAGUGAACACAGUUGAAGCUCUGUAUCCAUGUGCGUGUGGUGGAAAAGACAAGCUGUAUUGUAUACUCAAGGUGGUUACCUCCACCAGCAUACAAUGCCAUAAUUUAGAUGAUGCUGAACCUGCUUUCACAUCUUUAACAUACAUGCAAAGUGUCAGUGGACCUGUCCAAGUGUGAUUUUUCUACUGAUUAUGGAAAUCACGAUAAAGAUACAGAGCCACUCUGGUGUGAUAUCUUCCUCGACAGUGAAAUGCAACCUAACCAAAAGUUGCAUUCUGUAAGAGAUUUACAAAAAUUAAAUGGAAAAUUUAACUACAUCAAUUUGUAUUAAUUUCAUAAGUACUCCUCUCUCCAAAAUAUAUUUGGUAUGUUGUCUUACUGGUAACAAUGUAAUUUGGAAAUUUUAUGGGAAAUGUUUCCAUUUAAAAAAUAUCCAGCUCAGGCACAAUAACACUAAUUCUCCUUUCUGCAGUGUUUUCUUCUGUGUGAAAGUUUGAAAACAAAUUCUAUUACCGGCCACAUGUAAGUUGAGAAAUAUGGGAGCUCCUCUGAAAAAAUUGUUAGUUAUGUUUUUCUGUUCAUUUUUUCACUGAUGUAGAAAAGGUAGUUGAUUAAAAAGAGAAGAGGAAUUGAUCAUUGUAGAGUUCUUCUUGGUGCUGCAGUCAAAAACAGGAAAAUGAACAUCUUUUGGCCAAACGUGAUGCAUAGGUUCUGAUGUCCAAAUAAUAUUAUGGUUGCUUAUUGAAACCCUUUAGGUGGCUGAAUUCGUUCUUUGGUGAAAUCAUUUUAUAAUAAAUAAUUAUUUAUUACAUAUUUGAAAUAGACUUCAACUGAGCACAACAACAAAACUCAAGAUGAACACUGCUUUUAAUAGGAACAGUUUCUUAUUAAGUCCACUGAAAUACUGACUACCAUAAUGUAGCACAUAAAAGCUAAGAGGAUACAUUGUAACCAACAGUCUCCUAUACAUGCAGAUUAUACAUUUUUUAUUGAGUUAUAAAUAACAUAAUCUUUACAGCAGCAGGACACACAUGUAGAAGUACAGCAUGAUAACAACCAUUUUAAGAAAAUGAAAAUUCAACAGGUGUAAGCUGAAACAGUUAGGAUAGCUCAUACUUCAGAUAAACAUUGCAGUAUUUGUACUUAAUUAAUAGAGACAGAUUGACGCAUUCUACUUUUGUGUUCCCUUAUGAUAGAGUCUAAUAGUUUCAUCUAAUUGUAGUCCCAAUAUAAAGGACCGAUGUUACUCUACGUGUAUAUAUUCAUGUAUAGGAACAUAAUACAGAGCUGCUAAUUUUAAGUUGAAGUUGUAUUUCUGUAUUUCCACUGUAAAGUUAUUAGGUUCAUUUCUGAGUUAAGUUUUGACACAGGUGAGUUCAGGUGGAUUUCACUUGUUGAGAUUCUUGACUUUAAGAAACCUACAUGAAGUUCGAAGGUGUUUCCAACUCUGCAAUUAUACGUGCAGUUUUAAAUAUGUGCUUGUAACCAAUAUCUUUUGCAUACAAUGAGUUUCAACAGUUCAAGUGGCAGCAUAUCUUAUUCUCUCUGUAAGCAGGGGUAUUCCACAUUCAUCUGUAAUUGUCAGAUUAGUUCCAUGAAGUCUUUAGGGUGACUUAAAGCCAGUUUCUACGAAGUCUUUCAAUAUCAUUUUUGGCAGCUGAUAAACACAUAUAGCAUCAGUAAUGGUGUUGUUAAUAUUAACAUCUGCUCACUGCCACUUGCAUAUUAUACUGUAGUUGUUACUGCAGCGUUCAUCUGGGUUAUUUGCAUAUGCACAAUAGUACAACUUCACCUGCAAUAUGAAAUAAAGAUAAUAGUCCCUUAUUUUAAAAGGUUAUAAAAAUGAAUGCAGAAAAAUUAUUCAUGUGUAUCUUUAAUUUGCUGCCCUUUCCCCUCCCCACUACCUAACCCCAAUAAAAAUAAGCUACAGCUAUACUUACCGAAAUGUGAUGUCCAAGUGAUAUUUCUUGCUUUUCUGGAAAGGGUUUAAGAACGAAAAUGCCAGGUAUAAGUGGCAUGCUUUCCUUCAAGAAACAUUGGAACUGAAAUAAUUCCUUUAACCUGAAAAAUUUAUUCUUAUGUACAGCAUCUGCAAAUUCUGGUAGAGUUACAUGUAAUUCUGAAUCUCUAUAA